GUGUCAGUCAGUUCUUCAUGGAGAACAGGCCAGAAGUACUGGAGACCUGCAGCCCUGAGUCAACAGAAACACAUUUUAAGCCCUGCUUGCUUCCUUUCCUGGGAUACAUCUCUGCUUUUUUGAGACUACUUUAUAUUCAGUGAUGGUCCAGCAUGGAGCAGCCUACCCAUGCUAAUGCUAUUUGUGAAUAUCAUAAACAUCUUUUCUAUCCCAUUUAUAAAAUUGCUGAGGAAGAUAUUGAAGGGUGAAGAACCCUACAAGGUUCUGCAGAGUAAAGACCUGCAGUCUUGCUGUGAGAAAGUGCUACAAGGCUGUUCCUGGGGCGGUAAAGACUCCCAUAGUGAUAUGAUUCUUCCAGCACGUCUCUGCCCAGUAUCACUGCAGUGGUAUUUGUCCUUGACCAGUGUGUGCAGAAGCUCUACCUUGCAGCAUCCCGUAUGCCAGAUUUCCUCCAGUGAGACUUGUUUCAGGGAGCCUAUUCCUCUUGGUAUUGACUAUUGUUUUGGGAGUAUUUCUCUUCUUGUUUAAUGAAGAUCUCUCUCCCUCAUCUCUCAGCCUUGCAUAGCUGGAGACUCAAGGUAGGUGCUUGUAUGGUAAUUACACAAGACAGUGUUGACUGAAUAACCUGAGGCAUGGCGAGGUGGGUUUACUGCAGAUGCCUCUAUCACCUGCAACUAAUUGGCACACCUGUUGCACAGACCUGUCAUACCAUGGGAUGUAACAGUAACAAAUGAAAUCUUGGUAAUUGCAAUCUUCCUUCAAGCUAUCAUUCAAUUUACAUUUUAAUUAAUUUUAUAAGUCUUGUAGUUGUGAAAUAUUGAAGCAAUUAAAGGUAUGAAGGAAGGAACGUGUCAGUGUCAGUCGAGGAUAGUGAGUUGAAGAGGAGAAUUUGGUUCAAGGCAAAGUUGAUACAAACAAUGAUGCUUUGCGAUUUCUAAUUCUGGCAUGUGACAUUUUCUAAGCUCUUCGGAAACUUGAACAAAAUAAGCCACAGUCUUAGAGACUUCAACAUUCUGAGAGACAACAACUUUGCUUAGUAUUCAAAGAGAAAAGCUGAAGCAGAGGCAGUUGAGAAAUGUCAGUUUAUCUGUAGCAGAGCUGGGAAUUAAGUCCAGACCUCUUGAGCAAUCCAGGCAGAUAUCUUCUUUACGAGAGCAUUCUUUUUACCUGAAAGCAAAAAGUAAUCAUAUAAAUACUUGUGUGCUGUUGUGAGCGUGGUCAUGCUCUCAUUACAUAGAACUCAUAAUCUGGCCUCUGGCUACCAACUAUUUGGAGUACUCAGAAAAUGGCUGUUUCUUUAGUAACUGUUGUUAAUUCUUGUGGUUGUCAUAUUUACUUUUAAGUCCCAGUUCCUCAAUGCAGAAGCUUUACUUCUUAAGUAAAAUCUUCUGGCUUGAUCUGUGCUGAGAUGCAGCAAAGAUGUGACAUCAUGAUUCUGUGAUUCCAUGAUUACGUUUGGACAAGAUGAGUAAUAUCACCAAGUCUAACCAUGAAUCCAUUCCCACUAAGCCAAAUCCCUUAGUGUCAC
rnacentral:lncRNA from 1 species